CACGUAGGCACCAAGCGUUGUCCGGAUUUAUUGGGCGUAAAGAGCUCGUAGGCGGUUCGGUAAGUCGGGUGUGAAAACUUUGGGCUCAACCCAAAGCGUGCACUCGAUACUGCCAUGACUAGAGUUCGGUAGGGGAGUGGGGAAUUCCUAGUGUAGCGGUGAAAUGCGCAGAUAUUAGGAGGAACACCGGUGGCGAAGGCGCCACUCUGGGCCGAAACUGACGCUGAGGAGCGAAAGCGUGGGUAGCAAACAGGA
rnacentral:rRNA from 1 species